GGGCAGCUAGCUCAAUGGUUAGAGCAACUGGUUUACACCCAGUAGGUUAGAGGUUCGAAUCCUCUGUUGCCCA
rnacentral:tRNA from 1 species